rnacentral:rRNA from 1 species
CAGUAGCCGCGGUAACACGAAGGGGGCUAGCGUUGCUCGGAAUGACUGGGCGUAAAGGGCGCGUAGGCGGAUGGCACAGUCAGAUGUGAAAUUCCCGGGCUUAACCUGGGGGCUGCAUUUGAUACGUGUUGUCUAGAGUGAGGAAGAGGGUCGUGGAAUUCCCAGUGUAGAGGUGAAAUUCGUAGAUAUUGGGAAGAACACCGGUGGCGAAGGCGGCGACCUGGUCCUUUACUGACGCUGAGGCGCGAAAGCGUGAGGAGCAAACAGGAUUAGAUACCCCUGUAGUCCCUGUCUCUUAUAC